AAGUCGUAACAAGGUUUCCGUAGGUGAACCUGCGGAAGGAUCAUUACAGUAUUCUUUUUGCCAGCGCUUAAUUGCGCGGCGAAAAAACCUUACACACAGUGUUUUUUGUUAUUACAAGAACUUUUGCUUUGGUCUGGACUAGAAAUAGUUUGGGCCAGAGGUUUACUGAACUAAACUUCAAUAUUUAUAUUGAAUUGUUAUUUAUUUAAUUGUCAAUUUGUUGAUUAAAUUCAAAAAAUCUUCAAAACUUUCAACAACGGAUCUCUUGGUUCUCGCAUCGAUGAAGAACGCAGCGAAAUGCGAUAAGUAAUAUGAAUUGCAGAUUUUCGUGAAUCAUCGAAUCUUUGAACGCACAUUGCGCCCUCUGGUAUUCCAGAGGGCAUGCCUGUUUGAGCGUCAUUUCUCUCUCAAACCUUCGGGUUUGGUAUUGAGUGAUACUCUUAGUCGAACUAGGCGUUUGCUUGAAAUGUAUUGGCAUGAGUGGUACUGGAUAGUGCUAUAUGACUUUCAAUGUAUUAGGUUUAUCCAACUCGUUGAAUAGUUUAAUGGUAUAUUUCUCGGUAUUCUAGGCUCGGCCUUACAAUAUAACAAACAAGUUUGACCUCAAAUCAGGUAGGAUUACCCGCUGAACUUAA
rnacentral:rRNA from 1 species